UACAGAGGUCCCAAGCGUUGUUCGGAUUCACUGGGCGUAAAGGGUGCGUAGGUGGCUUGGUAAGUUUGAUGUGAAAUCUCCGGGCUUAACCCGGAAAAUGCAUUGAAUACUAUUUGAGCUCGAGGUUUGGAGGGGGGACUGGAAUUCUUGGUGUAGCAGUGAAAUGCGUAGAUAUCAAGAGGAACACCAGUGGCGAAGGCGAGUCCCUGGACAACACCUGACACUGAGGCACGAAAGCGUGGGGAGCGAACAGG
rnacentral:rRNA from 1 species